UUGAAAUCUAAACGACGGAGAGGCUUGCAGUUCCAGGCUGCGACUCUGUAGGAGGUCCUUAUGAAGUGCAGUGAAAUGAAAACAUCAUCUUCAUUUGAAGGUAUUUUAUUUCUGAGGCUAAGUGUGGAGACGAUCUGAAAAGCAGGAAGUAAUUUUGUUUGGGUUAGAGUGAAAAUUUUCACAUGAUUAUGUUCUUUUCAGUUCAUUACACAUUCAAGCCCAGGUAAAACUACAAAUUUUAAUGGCAAGUGCGCUGGAAGUUAUAAAAUCUGCUCGGACCUUCCGGGAUUCAACUUACAGGCCCUACAUUUAAAAUGCACCUGUACAGCACUUCACACUCUGCAGUCCAGGAGCAUCUGUGGAGAUAUUGGACAUUUGAUAACAGAACGGCCCACGCUUCAGUGAUAUCUCUCCAGACGUUCCCCUGCAGAGCAUCCACAGACGAAUCAAUGCGCUGCUUCCCAGGGAUGGCAACAAGAGGCCAUAUCAAGUCAGCAACCUGGCCAGAGAUGAGACUGGUUAUAGCGCUUUAAGAUGAUGAACAAUUUGCUACACACCAGCAGGGAGAAGAAUAUGCGUAACCAGCACAAGUGUUUGCAGAUGGGGGAGGAUUGCUUGAUGUCAAGGUGUCAAAGUCUAGUUCUCUGUCCUGGCAAGACAACAAGGGGAGUGUGCCUGUGCUGAAGGGGAAUUUCCAUAUCUACAGUUACCUUAGCCCAUACCAGAAAUGGCUGAAAACAUUCUAAGCAAG